CAGGCCUAACCAUGCAAGUCGAGCGCUCGUAGCAAUACGAGAGCGGCAGACGGGAGAGUACACGUGGGAACGCGCCCUUCGGUUCGGAAUAACUCAGGGAAACUUGAGUAAUACCGGAUACGCCCUAACGGGGAAAGAUUUAUCGCCGAAGGAACGGCCGCGUCCGAUUAGCUUGUUGGUGAGGUAAUGGCUCAGGAAGGCGACGACGGUAGCUGGUCUAAGAGGAUGAUCAGCCUCACUGGGACUGAGACACGGCCAGACUCCUACGGGAGGCAGCAGUGGGGAAUAUUGGACAAUGGGCGCAGCCUGAUCCAGCCAUGCCGCGUGGGUGAUGAAGGCCCUAGGGUUGUAAACCCUUUCAGCGGGGAAGAUAAUGACGGUACCCGCAGAAGAAGCCCCGGCAACUUCGUGCCAGCAGCCGCGGUAAU
rnacentral:rRNA from 1 species